rnacentral:rRNA from 1 species
GACGAACGCUGGCGGCGUGCCUAAUACAUGCAUGUAGAACGCUGAAGAGAGGAGCUUGCUCUUCUUGGAUGAGUUGCGAACGGGUGAGUAACGCGUAGGUAACCUGCCUUGUAGCGGGGGAUAACUAUUGGAAACGAUAGCUAAUACCGCAUAACAAUGGAUGACACAUGUCAUUUAUUUGAAAGGGGCAAUUGCUCCACUACAAGAUGGACCUGCGUUGUAUUAGCUAGUAGGUGAGGUAAUGGCUCACCUAGGCGACGAUACAUAGCCGACCUGAGAGGGUGAUCGGCCACACUGGGACUGAGACACGGCCCAGACUCCUACGGGAGGCAGCAGUAGGGAAUCUUCGGCAAUGGGGGCAACCCUGACCGAGCAACGCCGCGUGAGUGAAGAAGGUUUUCGGAUCGUAAAGCUCUGUUGUAAGUCAAGAACGGGUGUGAGAGUGGAAAGUUCACACUGUGACGGUAGCUUACCAGAAAGGGACGGCUAACUACGUG